ensembl:misc_RNA 7SK 7SK RNA
ACAGGGAUCUGCUGUGACACCUGUCACCCCAUUAAUGGCCAGGGUUGGCUUGGCUGACCUGGCUGGCUGGGCGGUUGUCCCCUUCCUCCCUCACCGCUCCAUGUGCGUCCCUCCCGAAGCUGCGCUCAGUCGAAGAGGAUGACCUUCCCGGAAUAGAGACGGACGGGUCUUUGGUCGAGGGAGUAUGAGUAGCUGCACUCCCCUGCUAAACCCUCCAAACAAGGUCCAUUUAUAGGAGAGCAUAGGGCAGUUAAGCUUCCAAAACUCCAGACACAUCCCAAAUGAGGCACUGCAUGUAGCAUUCUGCCUUUCUUU